GCCUCCCUCCCCCCGCGCGCCUCCUCUCCUCCCCCCGCCUCCCGCAGCCACAUCGCCGCCGCCGCCACCCGCCUCCCCACUCGGGCGAACCCCUCUCCUCUUCCCCCGCCUCACCUCUCUCCCUUCCCCCGUCCAAACCCUAGGCCCGCGCCCGCCGGCCGCCGCCGCCGCCGCUCGCCCAGGCCAUCCUCCCGCUGUGAAGGAAGCGGCCAGAGAGGAAGGGCGUCGCCGGGUGUGCAUGUGCCUCCGCGGAUUCGUGCCACGGUUGCCGGAGGCGUGGGCGCCGCGGGUCACCUCUCCAGAUCGGUGGAGGCCAAGGGCAAGGGCAAGGAGGAGGGGAGAAGAAGACCUUCGGCCAGCUGCGGGAAGCCGCCGCUGGUGUCCUCCGCGGCAUCCACCGGCGCCGGUGGCGGGCAGAAGCGCAAGUGCCACGACCACGCGCACUCCGAGAACGUCGCCGGCGGAAAGUACGGCGCCUCCGGUGGCCGCUGCCACUGCUCCAAGCGCGGAAGUCCCAGGUUCGGCGGAUGACUCGCAUGCCGGCAAUCAGCUCGAAGGCGGCGGAGAUCCCCGCAGGCGACUUCUCGUGGCGCAAGUACGGGCAGAAGCUGCCUAUGGAGAAUGCCCUGGACUCAGCAGUUGACGUAACUCGGUUGAGCUGCGGUGCGCUAUAUUUAGCUGAUUUUAUUGGGAAGGGAAGAGGUAUGAAAUUCUCAACUUAGAGGGAGCAUACACAAGUGUAAGCAGACCCUUGAGCAAGAGAGCAACAUGACUGCUAGCUUCCCUGCUGCAUUACAGGAGAUGGAUACGAAGUCCUCGGAGGAGGAAUACAAAGCUCUACAAGGUGAUGGAGCUGGAGAUGUGUAUUUCCAGUCUCUUGAAGAACGAAUCAUUAAUAUGAAGUGAGUUUCUGAACUAGGCGGGAUACCAUGGUCCAUGGGUGCAAGAUAACUCAUAUAUGGAUUACCACGGGUCCAGUGCGUUUAAAGUAUGUAUAUGCUUAUAUGCGUGGCUGCUGUUGGUACAACUUGACAACUCCAUAUAGAGAUUUUGCAGGGAUGUAUAUAUAUGGUCAUGUUUCACUGGGAUCCUCAACUGUUCCAGUUCGUAUUUAGCAGGAUCACAUGUUGACCAAUGACUCAAAUUAAUUUUCUCACUGAUCCAGUUAACUCAAGAACUUGUGACCCAGUUCUAGGACAACUGUGGACUAAGGGAUGGAGGUUGAUUUAUCAGCGGUUACAGGCAUGCAUGCUUUAUGGUGGCAAGCAUUAUAUAUCAUUGAAGACUUUCCAUUUGUUCAAGUUCCUGAUAUGCUAAUCGCUAACCUUUAG